rnacentral:rRNA from 1 species
GACGAACGCUGGCGGCGUGCUUAACACAUGCAAGUCGAACGGAAAGGCCCUGCUUUUGUGGGGUGCUCGAGUGGCGAACGGGUGAGUAACACGUGAGUAACCUGCCCUUGACUUUGGGAUAACUUCAGGAAACUGGGGCUAAUACCGGAUAGGAGCUCCUGCUGCAUGGUGGGGGUUGGAAAGUUUCGGCGGUUGGGGAUGGACUCGCGGCUUAUCAGCUUGUUGGUGGGGUAGUGGCUUACCAAGGCUUUGACGGGUAGCCGGCCUGAGAGGGUGACCGGCCACAUUGGGACUGAGAUACGGCCCAGACUCCUACGGGAGGCAGCGGUGGGGAAUAUUGCACAAUGGGCGGAAGCCUGAUGCAGCAACGCCGCGUGCGGGAUGACGGCCUUCGGGUUGUAAACUCCUUUCGCUAGGGACGAAGCUUUUUGUGACGGUACCUAGAUAAGAAGCACCGGCUAACUACGUG